UGUGCCUACGGGAGGCAGCAGUGGGGAAUAUUGGACAAUGGGGGAAACCCUGAUCCAGCGACGCCGCGUGAGUGAAGAAGUAUUUCGGUACGUAAAGCUCUAUCAGCAGGAAAGAAAAUGACGGUACCUGACUAAGAAGCCCCGGCUAACUACGUGCCAGCAGCCGCGGUAAUACGUAGGGGGCAAGCGUUAUCCGGAUUUACUGGGUGUAAAGGGAGCGCAGACGGCAGUGCAAGUCUGGAGUGAAGGCCCGGGCCCCAACCCCGGA
rnacentral:rRNA from 1 species